AAACGAUGUCGACUUGGAGGCUGUGCCCUUGAGGCGUGGCUUCCGGAGCUAACGCGUUAAGUCGACCGCCUGGGGAGUACGGCCGCAAGGUUAAAACUCAAAUGAAUUGACGGGGGCCCGCACAAGCGGUGGAGCAUGUGGUUUAAUUCGAUGCAACGCGAAGAACCUUACCUGGUCUUGACAUCCACAGAACUUUCCAGAGAUGGAUUGGUGCCUUCGGGAACUGUGAGACAGGUGCUGCAUGGCUGUCGUCAGCUCGUGUUGUGAAAUGUUGGGUUAAGUCCCGCAACGAGCGCAACCCUUAUCCUUCGUUGCCAGCGGUCCGGCCGGGAGCUCAAAGGAGACUGCCAGUGAUAAACUGGAGGAAGGUGGGGAUGACGUCAAGUCAUCAUGGCCCUUACGACCAGGGCUACACACGUGCUACAAUGGCGCAUACAAAGAGAAGCGACCUCGCGAGAGCAAGCGGACCUCAUAAAGUGCGUCGUAGUCCGGAUUGGAGUCUGCAACUCGACUCCAUGAAGUCGGAAUCGCUAGUAAUCGUGGAUCAGAAUGCCACGGUG
rnacentral:rRNA from 1 species